AUGAACGCUAGCUACAGGCUUAACACAUGCAAGUCGAGGGGCAGCAUGGUCUUAGCUUGCUAAGGCCGAUGGCGACCGGCGCACGGGUGAGUAACACGUAUCCAACCUGCCGUCUACUCUUGGACAGCCUUCUGAAAGGAAGAUUAAUACAAGAUGGCAUCAUGAGUUCACAUGUUCACAUGAUUAAAGGUAUUCCGGUAGACGAUGGGGAUGCGUUCCAUUAGAUAGUAGGCGGGGUAACGGCCCACCUAGUCUUCGAUGGAUAGGGGUUCUGAGAGGAAGGUCCCCCACAUUGGAACUGAGACACGGUCCAAACUCCUACGGGAGGCAGCAGUGAGGAAUAUUGGUCAAUGGGCGAGAGCCUGAACCAGCCAAGUAGCGUGAAGGAUGACUGCCCUAUGGGUUGUAAACUUCUUUUAUAAAGGAAUAAAGUCGGGUAUGCAUACCCGUUUGCAUGUACUUUAUGAAUAAGGAUCGGCUAACUCUGUGCCAGCAGCCGCGGUAAUACGGAGGAUCCGAGCGUUAUCCGGAUUUAUUGGGUUUAAAGGGAGCGUAGAUGGAUGUUUAAGUCAGUUGUGAAAGUUUGCGGCUCAACCGUAAAAUUGCAGUUGAUACUGGAUAUCUUGAGUGCAGUUGAGGCAGGCGGAAUUCGUGGUGUAGCGGUGAAAUGCUUAGAUAUCACGAAGAACUCCGAUUGCGAAGGCAGCCUGCUAAGCUGCAACUGACAUUGAGGCUCGAAAGUGUGGGUAUCAAACAGGAUUAGAUACCCUGGUAGUCCACACGGUAAACGAUGAAUACUCGCUGUUUGCGAUAUACAGCAAGCGGCCAAGCGAAAGCGUUAAGUAUUCCACCUGGGGAGUACGCCGGCAACGGUGAAACUCAAAGGAAUUGACGGGGGCCCGCACAAGCGGAGGAACAUGUGGUUUAAUUCGAUGAUACGCGAGGAACCUUACCCGGGCUCAAACGCACGACGGCGGCACGCGAAAGCGUGCUUACCUACGGGACGUUGUGCGAGGUGCUGCAUGGUUGUCGUCAGCUCGUGCCGUGAGGUGUCGGCUUAAGUGCCAUAACGAGCGCAACCCUUGUUGUCAGUUACUAACAGGAUUUGCUGAGGACUCUGACAAGACUGCCAUCGUAAGAUGUGAGGAAGGUGGGGAUGACGUCAAAUCAGCACGGCCCUUACGUCCGGGGCUACACACGUGUUACAAUGGGGGGUACAGAGGGCCGCUACCACGCGAGUGGAUGCCAAUCCCAAAAACCUCUCUCAGUUCGGACUGGAGUCUGCAACCCGACUCCACGAAGCUGGAUUCGCUAGUAAUCGCGCAUCAGCCACGGCGCGGUGAAUACGUUCCCGGGCCUUGUACACACCGCCCGUCAAGCCAUGGGAGCCGGGGGUACCUGAAGUGCGUAACCGCGAGGAGCGCCCUAGGGUAAAACUGGUGACUGGGGCU
rnacentral:rRNA from 1 species